UACGAAGGGGGCUAGCGUUGCUCGGAAUGACUGGGCGUAAAGGGCGCGUAGGCGGUUUGUACAGUCAGGUGUGAAAUUCCCGGGCUCAACCUGGGGGCUGCACUUGAUACGUAUGGACUGGAGUGGGGAAGAGGGUCGUGGAAUUCCCAGUGUAGAGGUGAAAUUCGUGGAUAUUGGGAAGAACACCGGUGGCGAAGGCGGCGACCUGGUCCUUGACUGACGCUGAGGCGCGAAAGCGUGGGGAGCAAACAGG
rnacentral:rRNA from 1 species